AUUGAACGCUGGCGGCAUGCUUUACACAUGCAAGUCGAACGGCAGCACGGGCUUCGGCCUGGUGGCGAGUGGCGAACGGGUGAGUAAUGCAUCGGAACGUACCGUGUAAUGGGGGGAUAACGUAGCGAAAGUUACGCUAAUACCGCAUACGCCCUGAGGGGGAAAGUGGGGGACCGCAAGGCCUCACGUUAUACGAGCGGCCGAUGUCGGAUUAGCUAGUUGGUGGGGUAAAGGCCUACCAAGGCGACGAUCCGUAGCGGGUCUGAGAGGAUGAUCCGCCACACUGGGACUGAGACACGGCCCAGACUCCUACGGGAGGCAGCAGUGGGGAAUUUUGGACAAUGGGCGCAAGCCUGAUCCAGCCAUGCCGCGUGAGUGAAGAAGGCCUUCGG
rnacentral:rRNA from 1 species